rnacentral:rRNA from 1 species
GAUGAACGCUAGCGGCAGGCUUAAUACAUGCAAGUCGAGGGACAGCACAGGUAGCAAUACUGGGUGGUAACCGGCAAACGGGUGCGGAACACGUACACAACCUUCCUUUAAGUGGGGGAUAGCCCAGAGAAAUUUGGAUUAAUACCCCGUAAUAUAGUUGAAUGGCAUCAUUUGAUUAUUAUAGCUACGGCGCUUAAUGGAGGGUGUGCGGCUGAUUAGAUAGUUGGCGGGGUAACGGCCCACCAAGUCUACGAUCAGUAGCUGAUGUGAGAGCAUGAUCAGCCACACGGGCACUGAGACACGGGCCCGACUCCUACGGGAGGCAGCAGUAAGGAAUAUUGGUCAAUGGACGCAAAUCUGAACCAGCCACGCCGCGUGAAGGAUUAAGGUCCUCUGGAUUGUAAACUUCUUUUAUUUGGGACGAAAAAGGGCCUUUCUAGGUCAACUGACGGUACCAGAUGAAUAAGCACCGGCUAACUCCGUGCCAGCCGCCGCCGUAAUAC